rnacentral:tRNA from 1 species
GCCGGGAUGGUGGAACUGGUAGACACGCAGGACUUAAAAUCCUGUGGCACGCAAGUGCCGUGCGGGUUCGAUUCCCGCUCCUGGUACGA